rnacentral:rRNA from 1 species
ACCCGCUGAACUUAAGCAUAUCAAUAAGCGGAGGAAAAGAAACCAACAGGGAUUGCCCUAGUAACGGCGAGUGAAGCGGCAACAGCUCAAAUUUGAAAUCUGGCGCAAGCCCGAGUUGUAAUUUGUAGAGGAUGCUUCUGGGCAGCGGCCGGUCUAAGUUCCUUGGAACAGGACGUCACAGAGGGUGAGAAUCCCGUAUGUGAUCGGUUGGCACCCGCUACGUAGCUCCUUCGACGAGUCGAGUUGUUUGGGAAUGCAGCUCUAAAUGGGAGGUAAAUGCCUUCUAAAGCUAAAUACCGGCCAGAGACCGAUAGCGCACAAGUAGAGUGAUCGAAAGAUGAAAAGCACUUUGGAAAGAGAGUUAAAAAGCACGUGAAAUUGUUGAAAGGGAAGCGCAUGCAACCAGACUUGUCCGCGGUGUUCCGCCGGUCUUCUGACCGGUCUACUCGCCGCGGGCAGGCCAGCAUCAUCUGGGAGCGCCGGAUAAAGGUAGCGGGAAUGUGGCCCCUCGGGGUGUUAUAGCUCGCUACACAAUACGGCGCCUCCCGGGUGAGGUCCGCGCUUCGGCUAGGAUGCUGGCGUAAUGGUUGUAUGCGGCCCGUCUUGAAACACGGACCAAGGAGUCUACCAUCUAUGCGAGUGUUCGGGUGUCAAACCCCUACGCGCAAUGAAAGUGAACGGAGGUGGGAACCGCAAGGUGCACCAUCGACCGAUCCUGAUGUCUUCGGAUGGAUUUGAGUAAGAGCAUAGCUGGUGGGACCCGAAAGAUGGUGAACUAUGCCUGAAUAGGGUGAAGCCAGAGGAAACUCUGGUGGAGGCUCGCAGCGGUUCUGACGUGCAAAUCGAUCGUCAAAUUUGGGUAUAGGGGCGAAAGACUAAUCGAACCAUCUAGUAGCUGGUUCCUGCCGAAGUUUCCCUCAGG